UUCACCAACACUAUCACAGAGUGAUUUUUUUUUGCUGCACACUGAAUCAAAAUGAAAAUUAUCAUUUUCACCUGAUGUCUAGUUCAAAUUUGCGAUAUUUUUCUUAGUGUUUCCACGCAUUGUUUGUUGUUUUCUAACAGCAAACAAGAAAAAUAUUACAGUUCUAACAGCAAACAAAGGAAAAUUUUGUAAACACAGCACCAACACCAAUGGGGAUUGAGUAAAGUUUAGUUCGUCGAGAUUUUAUUCUGUUGUCGGUGUAGCCGACUCUCGAAAAUUUAAAUUUUAAAUAGUGUAGUGUACCAAAAAGCGCGUGGCGCUUUUUUGGUACGGGCUGGAAUUUCGGAGUCGACCCGGAGUCGACGAAAAGGGUUUACGGCAUUUCCGUCGUUUUAUCGUUUGGAGGAGUUUUUUGUGGAGUCCGUGCGCUCGUCAAGGCCCGCCCUUCGGGGUAGCGAAACGGAGUGUGGUGAAGUUUCGUCAAAAAGAGAAGCGAAAAGUGAACCGUCGAUCGCCAAUCAAUCGACGGUGGUCCAAAACGUUCCGAACCCUACGGACCGUUCGGAGAGCUCGGCGCGUGGAAUACGUCGCCAAUUGCGUACCACAGUGCCGGAUUGGAACCGAAGGCGAGGGUUCAUUUCAUCACGGGCGGUAAAAAGCGAAGCCGUGCGGAGGUACGUUGGCCCUUGUCCGGAGGGGAAAAUCAACCCGGGAAGCGCGACAUCCGUCGACGCAGCUCUCACGAGAAAAUCGGAGGCCUUCCGUCCAGCCGCCACCCACUUCGCAACUUUAGUUCGGCCAUAUUUGCACGGGCUCAUCAGCUGCGCACCAUCCUGCAGCUAGGCGAUUCUUCUGUCGCCGCCAUCGUCAAGGACAGCUUCGCCGCCAUCGCCACGAACAGGUUCGACGCCAUCGUUCCGAACCGGUUCGCCGCCAUCGCGCCGGCGAAACCCAGCAAGUCGACGAAGAAGAAAACCUGCGCAGGUAUGUGACUAGUGUGUAGACAUGGCCAUGAUCUAGAUAAACAUUUAUAUAUCCGUACCAAUUCCAAAUGUGUUCAACCCGAAACAAAUAAACCCCACGAAUUGUAAGUAAGAAGAUCGAGUAGUUUUUUAGUUGGAGUAAUCGCUGAGAGAUCACUCCGUUCGCUUUUCCGUUCCGUUCCGUUGACUACGUUGAUCACUCGCUUUGCAUAAUUUCUGCCGGGAUUUAUUGGCGGGUUGGAAGAGUUUGAGGGUAACGUAACUUGGGAGGUGGCCAAAUUGGAGAAGCACUUGGUGCAAAGCAAUAUUUUAAGUUUCAGCCAGCGACCGUUCGAGUGACCCCUGAGGAGAGAAGUCGAGUAUUAGUCGGGCAAAAGAACUCGACCGGUGGUCUUCCGGAUCCCGGAAGUGGCGCUUAAGCCACCGGUUAAUCAUAA